UACGUAGGUGGCAAGCGUUGUCCGGAUUUAUUGGGCGUAAAGAGCGUGUAGGCGGCUUUACAGGUCCGUUGUGAAAACUCGAGGCUCAACCUCGAGACGCCGAUGGAAACCAUGUGGCUAGAGUCCGGAAGAGGAGAGUGGAAUUCCUGGUGUAGCGGUGAAAUGCGCAGAUAUCAGGAAGAACACCCGUGGCUAAGGCGGCUCUCUAGUACGGUACUGACGCUGAGACGCGAAAGCGUGGGGAGCGAACAGG
rnacentral:rRNA from 1 species